AUUAUUUGAGCAAAUAGUAAGUGCCAUUGGGUCUAAGAGAUCCAGAACCAAAUAACUUGAAGUAUACAGAUGGUUCUUUUUGGCUAGGUCAUGUAUGAGAAGAAAUGAUUUACCGAUCGAAGAAAAUAGACUUUUAGGCUCAUUGACUAUUAAGUCAUAUCUAGUCUGUGAAUCAUCUCUUUGAAGAUUAAUGAUCAAGCUGUCUUGUCCUUUACGGGUUAAAAAAAUAGGACCAUUGAGAUACUUGUCCUAGUACACACACAAUGUGUAUGGCCCA
rnacentral:lncRNA from 1 species